rnacentral:lncRNA from 1 species
CUACGGCUUGUGUCUUCAAUAGCCUGAGGUAUUUUCAUGUAUGUAAUCCUGGCUUGCAUCCUUGCUUGGGCCAUGACCUCUUUGAAGGCAUUGUUAGGUGUGAUUUAGCACUUUUCAUUAAGGACCUAGUGAAGAAAAAGUGGUUCUCGUAUGACUAUCUUAAUAGGACUAUGAAAAGGACCCAGUUGAAAGGUUUUGAUGCAAAUGAUAAACCCCCAGAAAUUAGUAGCUCAGGGGAAGAAAUAUCAGGCCAUGCUGUUGAGAACUGGUGCCUUUUGAGAAAUCUUCCAUUCUUUCUACAUGCUGUUGUUCAGGACCCACAAGAUCAGUCAUGGCAACUGAUACUGUGCCUUAGAGAGAUAGUUGAGUUUGUCUGCUCCCAAAGAAUCUCACGUGGGCAAGUCUUGUCUCUUGUGUCUUUGAUUGAUGAGUAUUCGUUGGAUAGAAAAGAAGCAUUUCCUUUGGUUAACCUCCGACCCAAACACCACUACCUGCGACACUAUCCAGAGCUGAUCCUGAAGUGUGGCCCAUUGAUCAGAGCAUGAACCAUGAGGUUUGAAAGUAAGCAUUCUUACUUAAAAUCGCAUGCUCGCCAUUGUGCCAAUUUUAUCAAUAUUACCAAAUCAUUAGCUGAAAAGCACCAGCUUCUGCAAGCCUUUUGUAGACGUGGUCAGUAUUUCAGUAUUGGCAUUUCAGCUGCAAGAUCCAUUCCAUUUUAUUCACAUCUGUAUGCUCUUUCCCUGAAUUCUGCUGUGGAGAAAUGUGGGGUGCAUAUUGGUGAUGAUGUUCACAUCUCUGACUCAGUCGAUAUUGAUGGCAUACAUUAUUGCAAAGGGAAGUAUGUUGUUGUCAAUCAGACUGAUGUGGAUAGAUUCCAUCUAAGCUUUGGUCUCAUUCAGUCAUUCAUAUUGGGCAGUGACAAUUCUAGUACAUGCCAUUUGCUUGUCUCAAUCAUAAGAGGCAGUUACGACCCUGCACUUGGGGUGUAUGAGUUACUUGAAGCAUCAGGUCAUGAAGCACAUGGAUCCAACUUGAAAUGCCUUGACAGACGGCAACUUUUAGAUACUCAGCCUCUCCAUGCCUACACUGUUAGUCGCAGAAAGUGCAUUGCCCUGAAUCCUUCUAUCUGUUUCAUUGAUGAAGAGCAGUGAACGAAGUGUGAGGUAAAUUUCUUUGAAAUGAAGUCACUACAGGUAGUCAAGAUUUUGUGAGGGUUGUAUAUACGUACAUAUAAGCUCACUCUAACCCCUAAAACGACCUAUAAGCCGUAGUGCAUGUACAUGUCAUACAUGUAUACACAUUUCGUAGAAAAGCAAUAAUUAUUUAGACCAGUCUCAAAUGUUUUGCAGGCAGUGUCAAAUGAACUUCUUUGUGGAAUUCUUUGCACCAUUUUUUCGGUGUUCUCAACAGGGAUUUUAGCAGGGUGGCCCACCCCUGCCAAAAUUUUAUGUUACAGUGCCAAAAUUUCAUACCGUGGAGAACACUGAUUUUUAGUCUGCCAUGUCCUGUUCUCUCCAUGUUUGAAUUGUGAUCAUGAUUUAAACCUAUUAGAGAUGCCUGCUUCGGGUUUGGUGAUUUAUCAGAUGUCAGGAUUUUUUUCACUGAAGAAGUCUUGGCUCAAGAUGAAUAUACAUGUACAUCAGGCGACUGCCACUCCCUAAAUGACUUGUCAAUGGGUGUAUGCUACGACGUUUUGGACUUGAUAAUGAAAUGAUAAAAAAAGAAAUUAAAACCUACAUACAAUUCAGACUUAAUUUCCCUUGAAACAACUCUCCGGAGCCACAAUUAGAAAAAGGGAAAUACAAUUUUUACCUGCAACUUUUUAAUUUUAAUCCCGAUGGUAGUUAUAGCCUUCUGUCUGCUAUUUCAGAAAGCACAAUGGACAAAAGAGGCAGCGGAGUUAACACAGUUCCUAUCACAGGUUUUCCCUACUUUGGACGAUGAGAAUCUUUGAGAAAUCGAGAUUACACUUGUUGACAAACUUGGGUGUGAUGAAGUUGAAGAUCUGCACCAUGCUACAGAGGAUGACCUGCACUACCUAAAACCGUUACGAAGGAGGAAACUUUUGGCUGCUGUUUCUGAAAGAAAGCAUGAUUUGUCACAGUUUUUCAGGAGGAGCUUCUCCCUCUGGCACAGAUCUUGAUGAACGCAGUAUGUUGGAAAGUUCCAUGUCCUCCACAAGCACCAUUCCGGAGACAGAUUCUGAAGAAUCCAGCGUGUACUCUACUCCUGAACCAGCCAAAUCAGAGUUCAGCAUCCCAUGGCAUAAAUUCCCACGCACCGUGAUGAAGAAGUGUGCCAAUCGGAAGUGCCUUACAGCCUCAGAGACAUGUGAAGUUAAGCGAAUGGUCAGUGAUGAAAUGAUGGCAGUGGGAGUUACUAAACGCGGAGCUAUUCGCAAAGCUGCCAAAGCCAUUUGUGACAGGUACCCAUGCUCGUUUGAAGACAGGGGUAUUGGAGGAACCAAACUGGGCAAUGGGUACCAGUCUGUCUUCUCUGGAAUAGAGAAUCGCAUUUACAAUGAGACUCAUAAGAUUCGCAAACGUAAAGCUGAAGUGCUGCAAUCAAAAGCUUCAGAUGACGGCUCAGAGGGUACUGCUGACUUCGACAUGUAUGGAUGCAAACAGGAAUGUGGUUGCCAGACUGUCCAAAUGAAGAUGAGUUGAAUGCCCAGAUGGAGAAGAAAAAACUGCUGCAAAAUCUGAAAGACCUACCAGACUGUGACACUGAGAAAGUGAUGAAGCUAAUGACUGACACGACAUCUCCAGCGCAAAGAUAUUUGCAGUGGCAUGUCUAUUGCUGAACUCAAUAAGGAGUGGCCUUUUCUCUUGACCUAUAAGUGUCUUGUCAACCAUUUCCACAUGCUCACCGAGAUAAAUCCGGAAUCUGCAAUGGAAGAGUCGCUUCUCGCUAGGAACAAGGGUAGCCGCAUAUACGAGUACAUAUUGUCAGGGACACAGAAGAAGAAGUCUGUUGAUGUGAAGAAGUGGAUUGGCAUCAUAAAGGCCGAGGUAGAGGAGACAAAAUCAACAGACCCUCAAUGCCAAUGUGUUUUCUUCCUGCUCCUGAAUUAUUUCGAAGAUGCGGAAGAUAGGCUGUUUCGCUUCUAUAGAGAUCACGGGAAGACAUCUUCCAGGGCCGGAACCUGUUUUACCUCGUCAUAGAGGGUUCUGUCAUCAAUGAUCGCAUUGCAACCUUCCUCGAAGCUGUCACAAGCCUCUUCUUGUGUUUUUACACACUCUCUUUAGAGUACCCCCCAGAGGCAGCAAUCACAAUGGAGUUUAUCCAGAGGGAAAUGAUCGGCAUCAAUCCAGACGGGCCAGUUGUUGCAAAGACUGGAGGCAAGAAGAAAAACAUAUCCGCCGUCGCUCCCAAGAUUGUGGCCCUCCUUCGUGGGAUCAUGGAAUUCGAGUCAGACUGGCAUAUGGAUCAGUAGCAGAUCUGCUGCAAUUUGUUCGCUCUGAGACAUAGACAUUCGCACCCUGUUGCCUUCAUUUGUUUGGGUUUUUUGUUUUCUUUUUUUUACAUUUAAUUUAUUCUUAUACAGUAACUGUUUAAUUAACUCUCAAUUUGGGUUUGGCAUCAAGUGGAACUUAUUGCGCCUAAUCAUACAUGUUAAAGUUAAGUUACGCUUCACAGGUUUUGUCAAAAGAAGUUUACAACUUGGCAAUGUGUGCAUACAUCUGUACAUUAAUUCUUGAUGAUGAUGUUUGACUAUUUCUUGUGGCUCCCUUGUAUGUCAUACAUUUUGGUUUGACAUGCUUGAUACAUUUGAUGUUGGUAUUUUAUGCUACAUGCAGGUUUAAUGCCAUGUGGGUGUUUACAUCCAGGUCUACAUAGGUAUAUGGAGAAAAGAUUCACAAAAAAAAUUUUGAAUAACCUAUUCAGUUACAUGUAUUGAUGUUACAUGUAUUAUAGGUCUGUUUGACUGAAAAAAGUGGCAUUUUGAAAGUUCUGAGCCUUAGACCUGUGUAAUUGUUGAUGUACACUCCUUCCACCCUGUAGCCUUCCUUUUUUUAAAAAAUUCUUAUACAGUAUUUAACUCUUAAUUUGGUUUUUGCAUCAGAUGGAACUUAUUGCGCCUGAUCACAUGUUAAAGCUAAGUCAUGCUUCACAGAUUUUGUCAAAAGAAGUUUACAACCUGGCAAUGUGUGCAUACAUCUGUACAUUAAUUCUUGAUGAUAAUGUCACGGACCGGCUUGAUUUAAGUCUAAUCUUGGAAUGUGUUAUGAGUUUGGUAGCCAUCCGAGUAGUCAUAAUAGUUCCCACCCCGUCAUGCUUGUAACCAGUAUUUAAAGAGCUCGGUGGGAUAUGAAAUGAUCAGUUGUCUGUAACUAUUCAUAUUGCUUGACUUAUA